UUUCUGCCCAAACAGUUUUUUAAGUCCCUGGACCAGAUGGUUUCUUCUUUUUUGUGGAAUGGAAGGGCCCCUAGACUGAGGCUCUCUUUAUUACAACAGUUUACCUCUAAUGGGGGUCUUUCCCUAACAAAUUUUUUAAUGUACUAUUGGUCUUCGCAUAUUCAUAAGCUGACCUACUGGCUAAAUUCGCCUAACCUGAUUUGGUGUAAACUUGAAAUUCAAUCAAUUUCUCCAUAUUUUUCACCUGCCUCCCUUAUCUAUUCAUCACUGCCUGUUAAAACAUCUUCUGUUGCUUCAAAUCCCGUAGUGCUCUCUACACUUAAGAUAUGGUUUCAGUUCAGGUCGCAUUUUAAAUUCAUAUCCCCUCUACCAGAUUACCAUUGUUAAGGAAUCAUCUAUUUUCCCCUGCCACUACCAACGCCGCCUAUUUGACGUGGCACGAAAGAGGCAUAAAGACCAUGAGAGCCCUUUACAAAGGUGAUGUCUUUCUUAGUGUCACGGUCCCCGUGUCUCCCUGGUUGGCUCACGCUGGCUACAGGUUUUGUUGUUGUUCUUUUUUUGUUUUUUGUUUUCUUUGUCUCUCCUCCUCCUCUCUGCCUGGGUGGAGCUCGUUACGGGCUCUCGCUCUUGGCCCACGCACCUGUGUGAUUGUCUCCACCUGCUGUUGAUCUGGCUGAUUUCCCCAGCUGCUAUUUAAGGCAGUGGCACAGAGCAGCUCACCGCUGGAACGUUGAACCUCCUGAAUAUCCCUCUUCUGGACCAAAUCACGGGACCUGCCUGGGUGUGGCAGCGUGUGUGGAGUUUUGGAGCGAGUGCGGCUGAAGAGGAGUGCGUGUGUGUGGAGGAGCUGUGGCGGUGACUGUGUGGAAGAGGAAGCGUGUGUGUGGAUUUCCCCCCUUCUCUCCCUGGAGCCCUGGACCCCCCCUCCCAACUCACUGUACAUGUAUAUAGCACUGAGGUGAUCCCCUGUUGUAAAUAAAUACUCUCCUUUUGUUCACAAAGACAGAACUGUCUGCGCGUGAGUCCGUCCAGUAGCCAUGACACUUAGUUUCUCAGAGCUAUCCUCAAAAUUUAACCUACCUCCCACUCACUUGUUUCUCUAUUUACAAAUUAGACACUGUGUCUCAUCACUGUUUCCAAAUUUCCCAAUUCUCCCUGCUGAUCCUCCAUGGGUUGACCUUCUGCUUGUUAGGCCUAAUCAAAAAU
ensembl:lncRNA